GUGCAAUACUCAGAGACAUGGCCAAGGUAAGAAAGGCUGAAAGACGACCACCACUGAACAAGACACACAAGCUGAAACGUCAAGACUGGGCCAAGAAAUAUCUCAAGACUGAUUUUUCUAAGGUUUUAUGGACCGAUGAAAUGAGAGGGAGUCUUGAUGGGCCAGAUGGAUGGGCCCGUGGCUGGAUUGGUAAAGGGCAGAGAGCUCCAGUCCGACUCAGACGCCAGCAAGGUGGAGGUGGAGUACUG